AUGGCGGAGUCCGGCCCGAGCACCGCCUCGCCGUGUAGCCCCGCGCGGCCUCUCGAUCCCUGCAUGAAUGGAGGCGCUCCACCGCACCUCGACCCGAGUUCGCAGUCCUCGAAACCACUCGAAUCCGAGCUCCAAUUUCUUGCGGUGCCGCCGCCGCCGCCGCCACAGCUCCAGUCGACGCCAGAGACCACCACCGCCGUCUCCGAGGAGAGCAACGGAACUGCCGAGUCAAGCCGAGCCUCCCGAAUUCGAGUUCGAGUACUCCCUGGCGCCGCUAAAGCUCCGACAGAGCCCAACCGACGCCAGAGAACACCACCGACGUCUCCCAGGAAAGAAACGGAACCGCCGACUCAAGGCAAGUCUCCUGGACGCCUUCCCGAGGAGCAAGGAUCACCGGAGCCAGCUCAGCGAUAA
rnacentral:rRNA from 1 species